GAGUAACACCCUGGGCAAUCUGCCCUGCACUCUGGGACAAGCCCUGGAAACGGGGUCUAAUACCGGAUAAUACUGUGCCCCUCAUGGGGGAUGGUUAAAAGCUCCGGCGGUGCAGGAUGAGCCCGCGGCCUAUCAGCUUGUUGGUGGGGUAAUGGCCUACCAAGGCGACGACGGGUAGCCGGCCUGAGAGGGCGACCGGCCACACUGGGACUGAGACACGGCCCAGACUCCUACGGGAGGCAGCAGUGGGGAAUAUUGCACAAUGGGCGAAAGCCUGAUGCAGCGACGCCGCGUGAGGGAUGACGGCCUUCGGGUUGUAAACCUCUUUCAGCAGGGAAGAAGCGAAAGUGACGGUACCUGCAGAAGAAGCGCCGGCUAACUACGUGCCAGCAGCCGCGGUAAUACGUAGGGCGCAAGCGUUGUCCGGAAUUAUUGGGCGUAAAGAGCUCGUAGGCGGUUUGUCACGUCGGGUGUGAAAGCCCGGGGCUUAACCCCGGGUCUGCAUUCGAUACGGGCAGACUAGAGUGUGGUAGGGGAGAUCGGAAUUCCUGGUGUAGCGGUGAAAUGCGCAGAUAUCAGGAGGAACACCGGUGGCGAAGGCGGAUCUCUGGGCCAUUACUGACGCUGAGGAGCGAAAGCGUGGGGAGCGAACAGGAUUAGAUACCCUGGUAGUCCACGCCGUAAACGUUGGGAACUAGGUGU
rnacentral:rRNA from 1 species